rnacentral:rRNA from 1 species
GAUGAACGCUGGCGGCGUGCUUAACACAUGCAAGUCGAACGGAAAGGCCGAAGCUUGCUUCGGUACUCGAGUGGCGAACGGGUGAGUAACACGUGGGUGAUCUGCCCUGUACUUCGGGAUAAGCUUGGGAAACUGGGUCUAAUACCGGAUAUGACGAUCUCUUGGAUGGGGUUGUGGAAAGCUUUUGCGGUAUGGGAUGAGCUCGCGGCCUAUCAGCUUGUUGGUGGGGUAAUGGCCUACCAAGGCGUCGACGGGUAGCCGGCCUGAGAGGGUGUACGGCCACAUUGGGACUGAGAUACGGCCCAGACUCCUACGGGAGGCAGCAGUGGGGAAUAUUGCACAAUGGGCGCAAGCCUGAUGCAGCGACGCCGCGUGGGGGAUGACGGCCUUCGGGUUGUAAACUCCUUUCACAAUCGACGAAGCCCUUUGGUGACGGUAGGUUGAGAAGAAGCACCGGCUAACUACGUG